rnacentral:lncRNA from 1 species
UCAGAGUACUAGAUCGAUGAUUCGGAAUCGGUCCAAAAGCACGAUCCAAAAAAAAACUAAAAGAAUAGACGAAAUUAAAUAAAUUUAGAUGGAGAGAGGAUGGGGGGAGAGAGAGAGAGGAGACAGAGAAAAACUUUGAAGAAAGAACAUCAAGCUGACUUUAUUUUAGCUUUUUCUCUUAUAAACUUUAUCUUGAAAAUAUGCACGAAACACUGGUAUAUGCCCUUCUUUUCUCUCUCUCUAGAAAAGUUUACUCUACAAAAAGUAGAAGUACAAAGUACAGGAGGCAGGCCUUUGAAUAUGAGCCCACGCAUAACCUUUUUUUAGUGAGAGAAAGGCCACACCUUUUUAGCUAGAGAAAGACGCACUUUUCUAUCACCAUAUUUAAUUGAGUUUUUGUAUCUUUUUAGACAUCCGAGAUUUAAGUAUGGACAUUAUAGAUAUAUAUGCCCCAUAUACACCAAACCUGCACCUCCUUUCCUCUUCACGAAUCUGGUUUCCUCUUCACAAAUCGACCCUGAAAAUCAUGCAACAACAUCAAAGUUAUGACUGGGAAGAGGGAGGGAGUUAGAGAGAGAAGUCAAGAUGAUAACAGUAACCGGCCCGUUGACCCGACAUACCAGGCUAGGCAGGCAGAUCUCGGCUGGUAAAAAGUUGAAAGGUUGGCAAAAAAUAAAAAUAAUCUAAAAAUAAAUAUGCAUGACCAAAAUACUUUCCAACUUUACCAAAAUGAUAAAAAUAAAUAAAAGACACAUCACAAACAGAACCCUUUUUUCUUGGAGUUUUUCAAACUUGAGAGAGAAAAGGAGAAGAAACAAAGACACAUCACAAACAGAACCCUUUUUUCUUGGAGUUUUUCAAACUUGAGAGAGAAAAGGAGAAGAAACACAUACACAUAGAGAGAGAGAGGAGGGGUUAA